rnacentral:rRNA from 1 species
AUGCAAGUCGAACGAAGUAGCAAUACUUAGUGGCAGACGGGUGAGUAACAUGUGGGUAUCUACCCUUUGGCCUGGAAUAACACGAGGAAACUUGUGCUAAUACCGGAUAAGUCUUUACGGAGAAAGCUUUAUGCACCAUUGGAUGAGCCCGCACUUGAUUAGUUUGUUGGUAGGGUAAUGGCCUACCAAGACUAUGAUCAAUAGCUGAUUUGAGAGGAUGAUCAGCCACAUUGGGACUGAGACACGGCCCAAACUCCUACGGGAGGCAGCAGUGGGGAAUCUUGCACAAUGGAGGAAACUCUGAUGCAGCGAUGCCGCGUGAGUGAAGAAGGCCCUUGGGUUGUAAAGCUCUUUCGUCGGGGAAGAAAAUGACUGUACCCGAAUAAG